rnacentral:rRNA from 1 species
UAACACAUGCAGUCGAACGGAAUCUUCGGAUUUAGUGGCGGACGGGUGAGUAACGCGUGAGAAUCUGCCUUCAGGAUGGGGACAACAAUUGGAAACGAUUGCUAAUACCCGAUAUGACGAAAGUUGAAAGAUUUAUCGCCUGGAGAUGAGCUCGCGUCAGAUUAGCUAGAUGGUGUGGUAAAAGCGCACCAUGGCGACGAUCUGUAGCUGGUCUGAGAGGAUGAGCAGCCACACUGGGACUGAGACACGGCCCAGACUCCUACGGGAGGCAGCAGUGGGGAAUUUUCCGCAAUGGGCGCAAGCCUGACGGAGCAAUACCGCGUGAGGGAGGAAGGCUCUUGGGUCGUAAACCUCUUUUCUCAGGGAAGAAUACAAUGACGGUAUCUGAGGAAUCAGCAUCGGCUAACUCCGUGCCAGCAGCCGCGGUAAUACGGAGGAUGCAAGCGUUAUCCGGAAUGAUUGGGCGUAAAGCGUCCGUAGGUGGUUAUGUAAGUCUGUGGUUAAAGCGUGGGGCUCAACCCCACAAAGGCCAUGGAAACUACAAGACUUGAGUGAAGUAGGGGUAGAGGGAAUUCCCAGUGUUGCGGUGAAAUGCGUAGAGAUUGGGAAGAACACCGG